GAAUACUGUUGGAGAGGAAAAACACAUCAGAUUCUUAAAAGAAAUGUUAAGUUGGUGCAACACCAAACUGGGAUGCUGAUUGGCAAUUGAAAGAAGUGAGGGAAGGGUGAUUCAGAAGACUGAUUCAGCAUUUGUGCAACAUGCUUCUUAUCUUAUAACAAGAAUAUUCUUCCUGCAUUGUUUUGGCUGUGUUACGCCUCUCCACAUGUUCACUCGUUCUUCAAAGCUCCUUUCAGUGAGAAAAGGUGGAUAACAAAGGCACACCAAAAUUGAAGGUACUUGCUCAAAUUCACACAGGAAUUCUAUGGCAGAGCCAGGAAUUGAGCGGAUGUCACCAGCAUCCCUGGCUUCCCGAGGCCACCCUUCCUUUUGCGUGUUGCAGAAACUCCUUUUACUCUGAUAGGCUUUUCAGGUACAAAUUCUGGGUCUUAUCAUAUUUACCUUGCAUUGAUUUUUCUUGAGAAAAAAGCUGUGCAUAGGA